rnacentral:rRNA from 1 species
CGCGUAGGCGGCUUGUACAGUCAGACGUGAAAUUCCUGGGCUCAACCUGGGGGCUGCGUUUGAUACGUGCGGGCUUGAGUUCGGAAGAGGGUCGUGGAAUUCCCAGUGUAGAGGUGAAAUUCGUAGAUAUUGGGAGGAACACCGGUGGCGAAGGCGGCGACCUGGUCCGAUACUGACGCUGAGGCGCGAAAGCGUGGGGGAGAAAC